rnacentral:rRNA from 1 species
ACGAACGUUGGCGGCAUGGAUUAGGCAUGCAAGUCGGGGGAAUCGCCGCAAGGCGGGAACCGGCGUAAGGGGCAGUAAGGCGUGGGUACCUACCCCCGGGUCCGGGAUAGCCUGCCGAGAGGCAGGGUAAUACCGGAUGACCUGGGGACAGCAAAGGCUUGCCGCCCGGGGCGGGGCCCACGUGGUAUUACCUGGCUGGCGGGGUAACGGCCCACCAGGGGUUCGAUGCCUAGCGGGUGUGAGAGCACGACCCGCGCCACUCGCACUGAGACACUGGCGAGACACCUACGGGUGGCUGCAGUCGAGGAUCUUCGGCAAUGGGGGCAACCCCGACCGAGCGAUGCCGCGUGCGCGACGAAGGCCUUCGGGUUGUAAAGCGCUGUCGGGGGGCGGAAAGGCGUAAGCUUGAUCCUCCCCCGGAGGAAGCUCGGGCUAAGUUCGUGCCAGCAGCCGCGGUAAGACGAACCGAGCGAACGUUGUUCGGAAUCAUUGGGCUUAAAGGGCGCGUAGGGCGGGCGGUCGCGCCCGGGGUGAAAGCCGUCAGCCCAACUGACGGAGGGCCCCGGGGACGGACCGCCUCGAGGGGGGUAGGGGCACGCGGAACGGUGGGUGGAGCGGUGAAAUGCGUUGAGAUCCACCGGAACUCCGGCGGCGAAAGCGGCGUGCUGGGCCCUCUCUGACGCUGAGGCGCGAAAGCCAGGGGAGCGAACGGGAUUAGAUACCCCGGGUAGUCCUGGGCCCUAAACGCUGGGGACUGGGUAGUGGCCCGCGCAUGGGUGUCACUGCCGGAAGCGAAAGUGCUAAGUCCCCCGCCUGGGAAGUAUGGCCGCAAGGCUGAAACUCAAAGGAAUUGACGGGGGCUCACACAAGCGGUGGAGCAUGUGGCUUAAUUCGAGGCUACGCGAAGAACCUUAUCCCGGGCUUGACAUGUGCGAAAGCGCCAGCAGGUAGGACCCGGAGACGGGGACGAACGGUACCCAACCCGGAAGCUGGUACAGGUGCUGCAUGGCUGUCGUCAGCUCGUGUCGUGAGAUGUCGGGUUAAGUCCCAUAACGAGCGAAACCCCUACCCGCAGUUGCGACCCCUCACGGGGGCACUCCGCGGGGACCGCCGGCGUCAAGCCGGAGGAAGGCGGGGAUGACGUCAAGUCCUCAUGGCCUUUAUGCCCGGGGCUGCACACGUGCUACAAUGGCGUGGACAAAGGGACGCCAACCCGCGAGGGCGAGCGGACCCCGGAAAGCACGCCCCAGUUCGGAUCGCGGGCUGCAACUCGCCCGCGUGAAGCCGGAAUCGCUAGUAAUCGCGGGUCAGCAACACCGCGGUGAAUGUGUUCCUGAGCCUUGUACA